GUAGAUUAUAGGUCUGUCAUGGCGGCCAUAUUGAAAUAAAUAUAAAGUCUGAACUUGUCAAUAGGCCUAUUCAGUGGGAAUUUUGAAAUAUCUAAUUUAAAUAACAACAAAAGUUUGUAUUGAGAAUUGAAGUAGAAACCAACCAUGUGAUCAGGAAACUUUUUCCAAGCAAUGUGUGACUCAGGUUUAUAUAUAUCUGGCAGACAUUUAUUACCUUCCAACAAAUAACUAGAAUAAUUGAUUCAAAUUUCAUUCACGUUUCUAAAGGCCAAUUGAUAUAUUUAACGAUUGAUGUACACUGGUUAAACAGAGUGUAAAAUCAUGUGACUUAGAGUAUUAACUGCCACACUUACUCCAUCUUGAAUAAUGUUGCAGAGGGAACAUGAUGGUUAACCAUCGAAAAACUUUUAAUUAGUUGGUGUUAAAAUUGUUUUUAUAUUUUCCAUAUAAAUAAAGUUGGUUAUUAUGAACAUU